rnacentral:rRNA from 1 species
CCUACGGGAGGCAGCAGUGGGGAAUAUUGCACAAUGGGGGCAACCCUGAUGCAGCGACGCCGCGUGAGUGAGGAAGUCUUUCGGUAUGUAAAGCUCUUUCAGCAGGGAAGAAAAUGACGCUACCUGACUAAGAAGCCCCGGCUAACUACGUGACAGCAUCCGCGGUAAUACGGAGGGCGCACGCGUUAUCCGGAUUUAAUGGGUGUAAAGGGGGCGUAGGCGGCUAAUCAAGUUAGAAGUGAAAACCCAGGGCUCAACUUUGGGACUGCUAUUGAAACUGAGUAGCUAGAGUGCAGGAGAGGUAUGCGGAAUUCCUAGUGUAGCGGUGAAAUGCUUAGAUAUCACGAAGAACUCCGAUUGCGAAGGCAGCUAACUGGACUGCAACUGACACUGAGGCUCGAAAGUGUGGGUAUCAAACAGGAUUAGAUACCCGAGUAGUC